GGCAGACAGGAGGCUCUGGGUCCAGUCCUCAGCACUGCAGACACCAGGCGUGGUACUGCACACCUGCAAUCCCAGCGAGGAAGGUGCAGAAGGAAAGAGGACGAGAAGUUCAAAGUCAUGAAUUUGUAUUGAGACAGAGUCUGGCCUUAGAGAACUGUCUAAAUUAACCAAGGGUGACUCUGAACUUCUGGUCCUGCUUCCACCUCUUCAGUGCUGGGAUUGUAGGUCUGAUACCCUACCUCCAAUCUUAGAAACAUGACGUGUGAAGUACUGAAAAGAAGUGACUGUUGGACACUCUUCCCUGAGGGGAUCAUCUGUGUAACAUCCUCCAUGGCUUCGAGAAUGUUGCAGAAGACGGGCUAAAAAGAAUUAAGGAGCUCAGGAGUGGGAGGAGUCCCAUGAAACGCUGUCUCCUGGACAGCUCUAGGUGGCCGAUAGCCUCACCGUCUCUGAGGAGCUGGUAGAUGGCGGCUAAUGCUCUUCAAUGGUAUCGCCAUCGCUAAGUUGCUCAUGCUCCAGGAAAUAACCACCGCUGCCCUAUGCGUACGCGAGCUACCCUGAUUAAACUGAGUGGUCACAAAACCACAGAACAAAGGCAAGACAGGAAAACAGGAGGGGCGCCUGGUAGUGGGAAGGGAAUGAGGGAGGGAAACAGGGUGAAACAAUGGAUAUACAUAAAUGAAAUUGUCAAAGAAUAGUAACUAACUGACUAACUAACUAAAUAACCUCAACAGUCAUGGUAUUAACAGUCAUGCACUCAGGAGGCAGAAGCAGCAGAUCUCUAUAAAUUUGAAACCAGUCAGGUUUACAUAGUGAGUUCUAGGCCAGUCAUGGCUAUGUAAUGAGAGCCUUUCUCAAUGAAUGAAUGAAUGAAAACAUUUUUAAAAGAUUUGUUUAUUAUGUAUAUUGUGUUCUGUCUACAUGUAUGCUUGCAGGCCAGAAGAGGGCACCAUAUCUCUUUCUAGAUGGUUGUAAGCCACUCUGUCGUUGUUGGGAAUUGAACUCUGUUCUUAACCUCUGAGCCAUUUCUCCAACCCCCGCCAUACCCCACUCUAUAGACCAGGUUGGUCUCGAACUCACUGAGAUCUACUUGCCUCUUCCUCCCAAGUUCUGGAAUUAAAGGUGUGUUCUACCAUUGCCCCGAAUGAAAACAUUUAUGAACCAAGUUUCUGGUCUUAAGAUCUACCUGAAUGUACCUCCUCCCCAUUUCUCUACUAUUGGCUUAGGAUGGCCUCCAACUCAUUAUACGACUGAAGAUAAUCAUGCACUUCUGAUCCUCCAGGUCCUACCUCCCAUAUACUAGGAUUAUAGGUAUGUGCCACCACAGUUUUGUGGCACUGGGUAUCAAACACAUGACUUUCUGUGUGCUAGGCAAGCCUCCCACCAACUGAUCAACAUCUCCAGUCCUGAAUCUGACAACUCUUAAACUCAAUCUUAGGAGAAAAGGCACACACAGUCAGCUGAAGUCUUAGCUUUCUGCAUGAAAAGCAAGAGGUUUUCUGGGUCUGGGAUUCGAUGUUCUUUUCCCCAGCAGCCCAAGAGACAUUAUCAAGGUGUAUCCUAGCCGGGCAGUGGUGGUGCACACCUUUAAUCCCAGCACUCGGGAGACAGAGGCAGGUGGAUCUCUGUGAGUUUGAGGCCAACCUGGUCUACAGAGCGAGUUCCAGGACUGGCUCCAUAGCUACUGGGAAACCCUGUCUCAAGAAAACAAAGAAACAAAAAAAUCAAGGUAUAGCCUAUGUCUGCAGGCUAACUAGAGGAGAGUAGCCACAGCAGAGUGUGUCCUCGCAGUCAGAGCAGGGAGUUGUUGCGAGCUGUGCAGUGGAUGCUUGCUGAGCACUGUCCUGAAGCUGGAGUCUAAUGAGCGGUGGAGAUUCUCUGUGAAUAUACGGGGUGGGGAGGAAUCAAGCAGAUGCAGGAGAGAGGGAAUGGCUGGGGGGCUGGACUCUGAAUGCUGUGGUCAGGAAAUGCCCUUUGAAGAGACAAUGUUAACAAAGGUGGGGGAUAAACAGAGGGAGUGGCUGUGGCCCUGAGUGCUUAAGGAAUCAGGGGCACAGAGAGCUCUGUUUAUUAUUGGUGUUACUGAGGACAAUAAACAACAGCAAGGCAGCAGUUAGCACAGAGUCUGACUACUGAGGGACACAGUAGUGCACAUCUUUAGUCCCAGCGCUCCUAAGGAGAGAUGGGUGGUGGUGACAGGAGACUCCCUAGAAACUCAUAGCCAGCUAAUUGGGUACACACAAGAUUUGAAAAAUAAAAUGCCUCCCGGCGGUGGUGGCGCACGCCUUUAAUCCCAGCAAUUGGGAGGCAGAGGCAGGCAGAUCUCU